GGUGAGAGGUUGCGCGGGCAAGCGCCUCGCCAACCCGGUCAGGUCCGGAAGGAAGCAGCCGUAACGAGAACCGUUUGGGUCGAUGUAAUCUCUCACCUUU
rnacentral:SRP_RNA from 1 species